rnacentral:rRNA from 1 species
AAAGGUCGGGGACCGCAAGGCCUGACGCGAUUGGAUGAGCCCAUGUUCGAUUAGCUAGUUGGCGGGGUAACGGCCCACCAAGGCGACGAUCGAUAGCUGGUCUGAGAGGAUGAUCAGCCACACUGGAACUGAGACACGGUCCAGACUCCUACGGGAGGCAGCAGUAGGGAAUAUUGGACAAUGGGCGCAAGCCUGAUCCAGCCAUGCCGCGUGAGUGAAGAAGGCCCUCGGGUUGUAAAGCUCUUUUGUUGGGGAAGAAAAGCAGUUGGUUAAUACCCGAUUGUUCUGACGGUACCCAAAGAAUAAGCACCGGCUAACUUCGUG